AAAUUUUGAAGGCUUGAAGAACAAGAAGAAGAUAGGAGCAAGGAGAAGAGGUGUAGAGCAAAGAUCCAAGGGCAAAUCAGAGUUCUUUGAGGUAUUCUUCGGAUUUCCUCCCCUUUUAUGCUUUAAAACCCCAUUAGAACUCUUCUAGAUCUAAUUUGAUGCUUUUCUCAAGCCUUAUGAUUGUAUGGAUGCCCUAAUAGGUCGAGAUAUCCUUAGAUCUGUUCAUUUAGGAGUUAUAGAGCCCGGAUCUAUUGCCUUUUUGAUGAUACUUUGCAUGAAACCCCUAGAUCUAGCCUUUAUUAUGCUUUUUGAGCUAUUUUAUCUUCAUGAAUGCUUAUGGGCACGUAAAGAUAGAAUCUUUACGUGCUAAUCGAGUUAAGGGAGUCCAGAUCUAUAAGUUCUAUACACUUGAUUCAAGCAGAAUCGAGUUUUGAGUUGUUGCAUGCAAGCGACUCGGCGAGUCGGAAGAACGACUCGGCGAGUCGAGUCGCGAGUCCCCGAUUUUCCUUUUUUUUUAGUGAUGCCGAGUGGGACCAGUGAGUGGUAGAGUGGACUCAAGGAGUUUGAGGUCAGACUCAGUAAUGGAGGGACUCGGUGAGUUGUUCAUACAACUCGGCGAGUCCAAGGCAAUCUUCUUAGCUCGAAGAACAACUCGUCGAGUUGUUCAUACGACUCGGCGAGUCGGAUGCAGAUUGCCUGAAGUUUUAGAUUCGAAAGGGAACUCGUCGAGUUGAUGCCAUACUCGACGAGUAGCAGCGAGUAGGGUUGAGAAGUGAGAAUAGGGACUCGGCGAGUUGGCGGCCCAACUCGGCGAGUCAGGUCAACUGUGGGUUGACUUUGAGCAGGAGAGUUGACUUUGACCAGGAGAGUUGAUCAGGAGAGUUGACUUUGAUGAAGGUUAAAAGAGUCAUUUUACCCCAGUGCAGUGAUUAGCAUUGAUUGAGCGUGUUUAUGGACUUGUAGCCGGGGAGAUACCGGAGCACCAGCAGAUAGCUUCCAGAGCCAUACACACAACAGCUAGUUGACGAGGUGAGUUUCCUUCCAGUAGGAACGGGUCUACAGCCACAAAGCCGANCGGGUCUACGGCCACAAUGCCGGCCCAUUUAGUUAGUAGCAGUUCCGGACUUCAGUCCGAAGCAGUAGUUCAGUAUGCUUGAUGUCUCCGUGAUUCAAGCAUGUUGUGUGUUAUAUGUUCCGGACUAUGGUCCGAUGCAGAAUGCAAUAUGUGUGUUUAUGUUAGUUGCUAUGUGUUAUGCCAUGCUAUGAUGAGUAGUUCCGGACAUCGGUCCGAUGCAUUCAGUUCUGGACUUCGGUCCGAUGCAGUCAGUUCCGGACUUCUGUCCGAUGCAGUUAGUUCCAGACUUAGGUCCGAUGCAGUCAGUUCCGGACUUCGGUCCGAUGCUGUUAUUUCUGGACUUCGGUCCGAUGCAGUCAGUUCCAGACUUUGGUCCGAUGCAGCUAGUUCCGGACUUCGGUCCGAUGCAGUGGGCAAGGCCCAGUAUGUGUUUUAUAUGUAUUGUAUGGUAUGUGGUAGUUUGGGGGAGCUCACUAAGCUUCGUGCUUACAGUUUCAGUUUUGGUUUCAGGUACUUCCGCAAGCAAAGGGAAGAGCUCGGGAUGAUGGCAUCGCACACACCACAGCUUCAGUUCUCAUCCUGGGAGUUGAUUCAGUUUGUUGAUUUGAUAUGAUAUAGUUAUGAUACAGUUUUCCUCACAGUAUUUUUACUAUGGUUGAGAUACAUAGUGUGUGGUUUUAUGAUAUGAUACUCAGAUUUAUGGUUUUUGGUUAUAUUGAAAAAUGAAAUUUUUGGGUCGUAUUUUUUGGGUCGUUUCAAGUUGGUAUCAGAGCCUUGGUUUGAGGGAUUCGGAUACACUUCCGGGUGUAUCUGAACUCAAACUAAGGGGAAGAUAAAAAGAUUUUUUUUAAAAGGAAAAUGUUUUCUAAAGAAUUUUAAAAGCACUUAGAAAGAAAGAAAUUUUUAAACGAGAUAAGGGUGUGGUGCAUGCGAUCAGCCGAGCUCAAGUAAGUACUCCCAAAUUACCCAUACAAGUUAUUUGUUCAGUUUCAGUUUCAGUAGAACAGCAUGCUAGUAUAGGACUAAGGAUCUAGGAGGAUGCCUUAUGUGCCUGCUUUAUGUGUUACAGCUUUAUGAGUAUUGCAUGCUAGUAUUGAGUAGACAGCAGUAGGAUAGCCUGUUUAGGUUAUGCCUGAUAGUAUGAGCUUAGCAUUGUAUGCUAGUACAGUUUCUCGUUAUGAGAAUAGUUUUGCCUGAGUAUGUUUCCUUUAUCCGAAUGCUGCUUGCUUCGUGCUUUGUGGGGUUCUGAGUGAUGGGAGUUAGCCAUUAGGUGAACACGUCACACCACAUGUGAUCAGGGUUGAAUAAUCCCAGAGUGCUGGAACUGGCCCUAUUGCGCAGCUCUUGUUUGAGUCCAACCGUUAUAGGGACGGGUCUUUUACUUGAAGGAUUAUCUGAUCUUCGUCACAUGUGAUGGUGUUCAGGUGGUGGUUAAUUAGCAUUAUAAGGAGACCUUCAGCAGCUGAGGACUAGUUGAGUUGAGUCUGAGGUUUCCCUAGGGCAAGCCUAGGAUGAGAGUAGCAGAGAUCAGUAGUAGUAGAAGUGACUUGGUGGAGUCAAGGCAGUUCUUGAAGAAAGUACGGAUAGAUGUGGAAGGUAGUAUGGGCCCGUACUACUGAAAGCAGAGGAUCCGUACUCGAAUCAAGAAAGGCUGAGACAAGACCAGGAAGCUAGUUGUAGUAUCAAUGAUCCCUUGAGAUAUUUCAGUUUUCUGAUGUAGUUGUGAUGUGUUUCAGAAUGGUGGUUUUGCGUUCGAGACCAGCAGCCGGCAGUGGAGGUGCCGGGGAGGGAUCAGGUUCAGGCUCGGGGGAUGAGCGCAUGGAUGAGCAGACCCGAGAGUUUCUUUCUUCGGAGAUUACGCGCAUCAUUAUAGAGCAGACUCCUGUGAUCUUCGGUUCGAUCAAGGAGGGGAUUCUAGAGCUGAUGGAUGAGAGAUUGGGCACCUUCCGUGCCGAGGUGGCGGCCAUGAUGGGGUCGCGCACCCUUACUUUCAGGGAGUUCAGGGCAUGUGGAGCUCCGGACUAUCAUGGGGCGCGAGACCCCAUAGCGAGCACCAGAUGGUUGGCGGAUGUGGCCAACGCUUUCCGUACUAGCAGAUGUCCCGAGGGGGACAAGGUCAGAUUGGCGUCCUGUCUUCUGAAGGACAGGGCACGAGAUUGGUGGGAGGAGGUCGGACAUGCCAUUGGGGAUGAUGCAGCAUUGGACGCCAUGACCUGGGCUGAUUUCUCUACCAGGUUCAGGGCGGAGUUUGCACCGGUCAUUGAGGUGCAACAGCUAGCUAGGGAGUUUCAGGACCUCACCCAGACUACAGAGACAGUGGCGGAGAUCACCGCCAAGUUCAGGGAGAGGGCUCUUCUCGUUCCUCAGUAUGUAGCUGAUGAGGAAAUGAAGAAGGCCCGUUAUCAUGAGAUGUUGCGGAGCGAUAUCCGCCAGUUUGUGAGCCGGUCCAGCUGUAAAACGCUGGAAGAUAUGAUUGCUAGAGCUCGGGAGAGGGAGAUUGAUCUUGAGAUGGAGAAGAAGAGGAAACCGGAGGCGGUUUCGGGUUCAGGCAGUUCGGGCAAAAAGCCCAAGGUUUCGGAUCACAGAUCUAGGAGUCAGCAGAGCCACGGUCGAUGUGGCAAGUGUGGGAGAUUGCACGAGGGAGCGUGCAAGGCAGGGAGUUCCGGCUGCUUCAAGUGCGGUCGGAUUGGGCAUUUGAGCAGGGAUUGUACGGCCCCUGCUACUGCCGUUGCAGCAUCAGAUCUGAUUUGCUUUCAGUGCAAUCAUAGGGGACAUAAAAAGUUCCAGUGUUCGAGUUUAGCCGCAGCAGGGAAGGUGGUUGCACCUGCCCCUGCUACCUUGAGGAUUACAGAUGGCCUGUAGGGUCGAGCUGAUGCGCCAGUGGAGAAGAGUAGGGUGUUUCAGAUGACAGCAGAGGAGGCGCGAGCGACUCCUGAUGUGGUGACGGGUAUGUAUCUUCCCUUCAUCUCUAUUUUUUUACUGAUUGUGGUUGCUUAUGAUUAUAUGUUUUGUAUAGGGUCCUUCUCUGUGAACGGCAUUUCUGCUAUGGUAUUAUUCGAUUCGGGGGCUACCCGAUCAUUCGUAUCACUUGCGCUUAGCAAGAGAUUUAGUAGAGCUCCAGGGGAGCUGGACUGUCCACUAAAGGUCGAGAUAGCAGAUGAUAGGACCGUGAGGGUCGCCAGAGUAUUCAGAGGGUGUUCGCUUCAGUUGUUUGACGAACAGUUUUCGGUGGACCUGGUUCCUAUUCCCCUGCGAGGGAAUAAGGUUAUAGUAGGCAUGGAUUGGCUGAGCCCCAAUGGGGCGGUGAUUGAUUGUGAGCAGUAGUUAGUGAGGGUUCGCACUCCCAGUGGGGGAGAGUUAGUGAUUCAGGGCGAGAGGCCACAGCACGGACUGACCUUUUGUUUCGCCGUGAGAGCGAGACGUUAUUUCCAACAGGGUUGCGUUGGGUAUAUAGCUUAUGUAGUAGAUACCCGGGAGAAGGGUAAGGUAGCAUUAGAGGAUGUUCCGGUAGUACGAGACUACCCGGAUGUAUUUCCCGAGGAUUUACCAGGAAUACCUCUUGAGACUACCCGGAUGUAUUUCCGGUAGUGCGAGACUACCCUGAUGUAUUUCCUGGAUGUAUUUCCCGGUAGUGGCAGGUUGAGUUCAGGAUCGACCUGAUUCCUGGUGCGGCUCCGAUAGCCAAGGCACCGUAUCGACUAGCUCCCCCUGAGAUGCAGGAGUUGUCUACGCAGCUGCAAGAGCUGCUAGACAAAGGUUUCAUUCGGCCGAGUAGUUCGCCUUGGGGAGCGCCGAUCCUAUUUGUGAGGAAGAAAGAUGGGUCGCAUUGUAUGUGUAUAGAUUACCGAGAGUUGAAUAAGGUAAUGGUGAAGAACCGUUACCCACUUCCGAGGAUAGAUGAUUUGUUUGAUCAGCUUCAGGGAGCGUCUUGGUUCUCCAAGAUCGAUCUACACUCCGGUUACCAUCAGAUGCGGGUUAGAGAUGAGGAUGUACAGAAGACUGCUUUCAGGACCAGGUAUGGUCAUUAUGAGUUUGUGGUGAUGCCAUUUGGGCUCACCAAUGCUCCAGCCGCGUUCAUGGAUCUCAUGAAUCGCGUGUGCAGGCCGAUGCUGGAUCGGUCAGUGAUAGUAUUCAUAGAUGAUAUCUUGGUGUAUUCCAAGACGCAGGAGCAGCACGAGGAGCACCUGCGGGAGGUGCUGGAGGUUUUGAGGAGGGAGAGACUUUUCGCAAAGUUCUCCAAGUGUGAGUUCUGGUUGCGCGAGGUGCAGUUCCUUGGUCACCUCGUCAACCAGAAGGGUAUUUUGGUAGAUCCGGCCAAGAUAGAGGCCGUGAUGCAGUGGGAGGUCCCGAAGUCUCCAUCUGAGAUUCGGAGCUUCCUAGGGUUGGCAGGGUAUUAUCGGAGAUUUAUUCAGGAUUUCUCCAAGAUAGCAGUGCCGCUCACCCGACUGACCAAGAAGUCGGUGGUAUUUCGUUGGGGGCCUGAGCAGCAGGCAGCGUUCGAGACCCUCAGACAGAGAUUGUGCGAGGCUCCGAUCCUUACCUUGCCAGAGGGAGUAGAGGACUUCGUAGUCUACUGUGAUGCCUCGAUCACAGGUAUGGGAGCAGUGUUGAUGCAGCGAGGCCAUGUGAUAGCUUACGCCUCGAGACAGUUGAAGCCUCACGAGGCUAAUUAUCCUACCCAUGAUUUAGAGCUGGGGGCGGUUGUGUUUGCCCUCAAGAUUUGGAGGCAUUACCUUUAUGGGGUCCGUUGUACUAUUUACACGGAUCACAAGAGUUUGAGGUACCUUAUGGAUCAGCCGAGUCUGAACAUGAGGCAGAGGAGGUGGUUGGAUGUGCUAAAGGAUUACGAUUGUGAGAUCCUUUACCAUCCAGGGAAGGCCAACGUGGUGGCCGACGCCCUAAGCCGCAAAGUGUCGGCGGCCCCUAUCAGAGAUCUGUGUUUGAGGAUGACAGUGAUCACUCCGUUGUUGGAGCGGAUCAAGGAGGCUCAGGUGGAGGGCCUCAAGGAGGAGAGACAGAAGUGUGAGAGGAUCGUGGGCCGAGUAGCCUCGUUUGAUUAUGAUAGUCGUGGUUUGCUGACGCUUCACGGGAGAGUGUGGGUACCGUACUGGGGUGGAGUACGGCAAGUGUUGAUGGAUGAGGCUCAUAAGUCUCGGUUUUCUAUCCACCCAGGGGCGACGAAGAUGUAUCGAGAUCUUCGACCUGAUUAUUGGUGGCCCUGCAUGAAGCGGGACGUCGCCUGGUACGUUGAGAGAUGCCUGACCUGCCGGAAGGUCAAGGCGGAGCACCAGAGACCUCACGGCAAGAUGCAGCCGUUAGACAUUCCCGUGUGGAAAUGGGAGGACAUCACCAUGGAUUUUGUCACCAAGCUUCCCAGGACCGCACGAGGAGUGGAUUCGAUAUGGGUAGUAGUGGAUCGGUUGACGAAGAGUGCCCAUUUUAUCCCGAUCCAGGAGAGUAUAUCGGCGGAGAAGUUAGCCGAUAUCUAUGUGCGAGAGAUUGUGGCACGUCAUGGAGUGCCGGUAUCGGUGGUGUCAGACCGAGAUGUCCGUUUCACAUCCAGAUUCUGGAAGCGGUUCCACGACGAGAUGGGUACUCGUCUCCAUUUCAGCACCGCUUUCCACCCUCAGACGGACGGGCAGAGCGAGAGGACGAUUCAGACUCUCGAGGACAUGCUUAGGGCAUGUGUUCUAGAUUUCGGUGGCAGUUGGGAUACGUAUCUUCCGUUAGCGGAAUUUUCGUAUAACAACAGUUAUCAUGCGAGCAUUGAUCGACCUCCCUUUGAGAUGCUGUAUGGGAGGAAGUGUAGGACCCCGAUUUGUUGGGGCGAGGUCGGUCAGCGAGUCAUCGGGAGCACAGAGGUGGUGCUCAAGACGACCGAGUUGAUCCAGCAGGUCCGUAGUAGACUGCAGACUGCGCAGAGUCGGCAGAAGAGCUACGCCGACAGGAGGCGUUCGGACUUGGAGUUCCAGGUGGGAGAUAUGGUCCUUCUGAAGGUCUCACCUUGGAAGGGUGUCAUCAGAUUCCGGAAGAGGGGCAAGUUGGGCCCCAGAUUUAUUGGUCCUUUCAGGGUUUUGGCCCGGGUGGGUCGGGUUGCUUAUCGGUUAGAUCUUCCUGAGGAGCUUAGUCAGAUCCACAACACUUUCCAUGUGUCUCAGUUGAGGAAGUGUUUGGUGGAUGAGUCAGCAGUCGUUCCCCUAGAGGAUAUUCAGGUUGAUAGCAGCCUGAAUUAUAUUGAGAGGCCGGUCGCGAUUCUGGACCGGAAGACCAAGACCUUGAGGAACAAGGAAAUUCAGUUAGUGAAGGUGCAGUGGCAACACCGGAAGGGGUCUGAGUGGACGUGGGAGGCUGAGGAGGAGAUGAGAGAGCACUACCCGGAGAUAUUUGCAGAUUCAGCUGUAGCAGACUUCGAGGACGAAGUCUGAGACAAGUGGGGGAGAAGUGUAACGACCCGUCUCCGGUACGAUGAUUCCAUAGUAUUUAAUUAGAAGUUUGCAAGAGGGACUCGGCGAGUUCAUAGCCUGACUCGCCGAGUAGGGACGGGAUUUCGAGCACGUGUUAGUCGGCGACUCGGCGAGUCCAUAUUCGGGACUCGGCGAGUCUGCCUGCCUGGAAGAAACCCUAAAUCCCCGGGUUGCUCACUAUUUAAACCACCUUAUAGCCCCCAAUCUCGCCUCCUUCACCCUCAGAGAGCUGUGAGAAAACCCUAAUCCAUCCUUGAGUGAUCUAAGUGUUCUUGUGUGAAAUUUUGAAGGCUUGAAGAAGAAGAAGAAGAUAGGAGCAAGGAGAAGAGGUGUAGAGCAAAGAUCCAAGGGCAAAUCAGAGUUCUUUGAGGUAUCCUUCGGAUUUCCUCCCCUUUUAUGCUUUAAACCCCCAUUAGAACUCUUCUAGAUCUAGUUUGAUGCUUUUCUCAAGCCUUAUGAUUGUAUGGAUGCCCUAAUAGGUCGAGAUAUCCUUAGAUCUGUUCAUUUAGGAGUUGUAGAGCCCGGAUCUAUUGCCUUUUUGAUGAUACUUUGCAUGAAAACCCUAGAUCUAGCCUUUAUUAUGCUUUUUGAGCUAUUUUAUCUUCAUGAAUGUAUAUGGGCAUGUAAAGAUAGAAUAUUUACGUGCUAAUUGAG
rnacentral:lncRNA from 1 species